CAGAGGUCCCGAGCGUUGUUCGGAUUCACUGGGCGUAAAGGGUGCGUAGGCGGUCGGGUAAGUCUGAUGUGAAAUCUCACAGCUUAACUGUGAAACUGCAUUGGAUACUAUUCGGCUUGAGAGUUGGAGGGGGGACUGGAAUUCUUGGUGUAGCAGUGAAAUGCGUAGAUAUCAAGAGGAACACCAGUGGCGAAGGCGAGUCCCUGGACAACUUCUGACGCUGAGGCACGAAAGCUAGGGGAGCAAACAGGAUUAGAUACCCUGGUAGUCCUAGCUGUAAACGGUGCUUAUUUGCUGUAAAAGGAAUCGACCCCUUUUGUAGGCGUAGCAAACGCGUUAAAUAAGCCGCCUGGGAAGUACGGUCGCAAGAUUA
rnacentral:rRNA from 1 species